rnacentral:rRNA from 1 species
ACGCGAAAGGGGCUUCGGCCCUGAGUAGAGUGGCAAACGGGUGAGUAACACGUGGGUGACCUGCCUCAGAGUGGGGGAUAACGUCCCGAAAGGGACGCUAAUACCGCAUAACAUCCUGCCUUUGGAAAGGUGGAGAUCAAAGCCGGGGAUCGCAAGACCUGGCGCUUGGAGAGGGGCCCGCGUCUGAUUAGCUAGUUGGUAGGGUAAUGGCCUACCAAGGCGACGAUCAGUAUCCGGCCUGAGAGGGCGGACGGACACACUGGGACUGAGACACGGCCCAGACUCCUACGGGAGGCAGCAGUGGGGAAUUGUUCGCAAUGGGCGCAAGCCUGACGACGCAACGCCGCGUGGAGGAUGAAGAUCUUCGGGUCGUAAACUCCUGUCGAGCGGGACGAACACUUACCUGGUCAAUACCCGGGUAGGCUGACGGUACCGCUAAAGGAAGCCCCGGCUAACUCCGUGCCAGCAGCCGCGGUAAUACGGGGGGGGCAAGCGUUG